GGCGUGUUGAGGAGUCCGCGAAGUUGGCCUUUCCUGACCUCAAGCAAUCCUCUAGCCACAGCCUCCAGUCAUACCCGUGUAUGGUGGAGGCAAGGGAAGAACCCAGCUCGCUGUUGCGGUGACCGUGACAUGCAGGGCCCUGGUUUGGGGAUGGACACUCCGGGGCACAGGCCGAGCUAUGGGCCAGGGUGCUGUGCCUCUCCUACCCACUCGCUCACGUGGGCCUGGCAGACGGAGCCACUAUACUCCCUAGAGACAAUGCCAAGUGCUUCCUGGGGGACGCUUACCAAGGGUUCCUGUUCCUGCAGGUCUGGCACCCCAGAUCACUGAGCAGGAUGGGGUGACAGGCCCUGGGCAGGUGGAGCAGAGAUGUGUGCCCCUCCU
rnacentral:lncRNA from 1 species